ACCCAAAAACUUGUUAUCACUUAAUGUUACGACAGAACAAAAAAAGACCAAACUCUUAAACUUUCUCUCAAACUUACCGAGUCUUCUUCUCGAUCUCGCUUCCGUCAUGUUGUCUGGUGACCCUUUCUCCAUGGCUCACACCCGACAAACCCAUAAUGGUCGUUGUCCAUGGCCACUUAAGUUGAAUCUCCAGGACGUCUCUGCACUGUUUCUCCAAGCAAGACGAAGCCUCCCAGUUCUCAUGGCAAGGAUGCUCACAGAAAGGUGCUAUAUAUUCAGUUAAAAGGUUCGAGCUUCAGAAAACAGUGGCUGCUUUCCUCAACCUUAAAGCUCUAUGAGCAUCUUCUCAGUGGCCUUUAACAGGUACCAUUGUUUCAAGGCAUCUAGAGAGUCAUACACAAGUCCAAUACUUUUUCAUCAGAGUUCUCCAUACCAGUCAUAACACUCAUCCUCGACUGCACAUAUACUCUCUCAAUAAUCGGAAGGCCAUUUGUGGUUUUAUCUUUCUUCUCUUAUUGCAGAGAACUUGCACAGAAGAUCACUGAAGAAGUUGAGUUCAUUGUUGUUUCACAACACUUCUCCAACACUGAUCAUGAUGAAGAUGACAGCCAAAGCUCCAACUCACAAACAUCAGUCACAACUAAUUGACAUUUUACACGGUAGAUGUUACAACAAUUUUUUUUUUUGUAUUUGCUUAGUCCUUAUGUUUUUUGUAAACAUAUGAUUAGUUCUAUAUUGUGCAAUGACACUAUUAUAUUUUCUGUGCUAAUCUUAAAUAUU